rnacentral:ribozyme from 1 species
AAGAGAAGGAAAACAUACAUAGAAGUGCUAUAAACGUACAUGUUGCCUAUUUUUUCUUGCGCGCGUCAAUUUUGUUUUUCAAAUUACUUUUUUAUGAUUGAUUCUUUAACACAAAAACAAAAACAAAAA